rnacentral:rRNA from 1 species
UGCAGUCGAACGGAAGUCGUUGUAUGAAAUGGAAAUGGACAGAGAACUUGUUCGAAGAAAGUUGAAGUAGACUUACAACAAUGGCUUUAGUGGCGGACUGGUGAGUAACGCGUAAGGAACCUGCCUUUUAGAGGGGAAUAACAAUGAGAAAUCAUUGCUAAUACCGCAUAUGCCGAGAGAAUCACAUGGUACAAUCGGGAAAGGAGCAAUUCGCUAAAAGAUGGCCUUGCGUCUGAUUAGAUAGUUGGUGGGGUAACGGCCUACCAAGUCGACGAUCAGUAGCCGGACUGAGAGGUUGAACGGCCACAUUGGGACUGAGAUACGGCCCAGACUCCUACGGGAGGCAGCAGUCGGGAAUAUUGCGCAAUGGAGGAAACUCUGACGCAGUGACGCCGCGUAUAGGAAGAAGGUUUUCGGAUUGUAAACUAUUGUCGUUAGGGAAGAGAAAGGACAGUACCUAAGGAGGAAGCUCCGGCUAACUACGUGCCAGCAGCCGCGGUAAUACGUAGGGAGCGAGCGUUAUCCGGAAUUAUUGGGUGUAAAGGGUGCGUAGACGGGAAGAUAAGUUAGUUGUGAAAUCCCUCGGCUUAACUGAGGAACUGCAACUAAAACUGUUUUUCUUGAG